rnacentral:rRNA from 1 species
CUGAGACACAGGUCCAAACUCCUACGGGAGGCAGCAGUGGGGAAUCUUCCGCAAUGGGCGCAAGCCUGACGGAGCAACGCCGCGUGAGUGAAGAAGGGUUUCGACUCGUAAAGCUCUGUUGUUGGGGACGAAUGUGGAGAUGGUGAAUAACCAUUUUCAAUGACGGUACCUGACGAGGAAGCCAACGGCUAACUACGUGC